GCAUUUCUAACAAGUACUCAUGUGAUAGUGAUGCUGAUGGUUUGGUAACCCCACACGGAGAACCACAACCCUCCUCCCUUUCACCUUUGGCAGAUUCUUCAUCAGCUGAGCCACCAGGGAAGCCCACAUGGUGGUAAAGAGAACAUCAACAAGGAGCUGAAGAAACCCUCUAGAUUAUAGCAAGCAAGAAAAUGAGGUUUUUGCCCGACAAUUCCAAGGAAAUGGAUCCUUCCAACAACUUGAGUUUGGAAUUGGAUGCUCCAGUAGAGGGGUGGAGCCUCCAAGAGAAGCUCAAAGGAGACCACACCCUCCAAUGAUGACUGACACUUUGAAGAGGGACCAACUAAAUUAUGCCCGGACUCAUUACCCACAGCAACUGAGAUCAUAAAGACUGAAUAUUUCAGGUAUUGGCAAUGCAACAACAAGAAGCCAAAAAUAAAAUUCAGAUGCAAAAUGGAGGGAAGCAAGGAAAAGAAAAAGACUGAAGUCCAGUGGAAAUGUUAGUUGUUUUUAUGGUUAAUAAAUAUAUGAUGCAAAUGUACCCAGAGGUUGCUGAAGGAGGGCAAGAG
ensembl:lncRNA